rnacentral:lncRNA from 13 species
AUCUUAUUACAGAAUAAUGUUCCUAAUAAGUUUGAAAUAAAAGUUGGCCGAAACAAUAUUUUGGAAGAUUCGUACCACAUAUUAUAAGCUCGAAUCCGUUAAGAGUUGAUAUUCUAAAAACGAAAUUAUGGGUAGAAUUUAAAGGAGAGAUAGGCUUAGAUUACGGUGGCCUUGCAAGAGAAUGGUUCUUUUUAUUGUCUAAAGAAAUGUUUAAUCCAUACUAUGGACUUUUUGAGUAUUCUGCAACCCAUAAUUAUACACUGCAAAUUAAUCCUUGUUCUGGUGUAUGUAAUGAGGAGCAUUUAAAUUAUUUUAAAUUUAUUGGACGUAUAGCAGGAAUGGCUGUUUAUCAUGGUAAACUUCUGCGAUGCUUUCCUUAUUCGACCAUUUUAUAAAAUAAUGUUGGCUAAACCAAUUGAUCUGAAAGAUAUGGAGAGUGUUGAUUCUGAAUAUUACAACUCUCUUCUAUGAAUUAAUGAAAACGAUUCCAGUGAAUUAGAACUCACUUUAAGCCUUGACGAAGAAAGCUUUGGUCAUACUUCCCAAAGAGACUUAAAGCCGAAUAGUGCUAAUAUUCCUUUGACCGAUGAAAAUAAGGACGAGUAUAUAAGUUUAGUUAUUUGGCUGCUAUAACAAUGUGAUAUUACGAUAUUAAUUUAUUAAUUGAGUCUUUUCUUGGUUAAUAAGAUUAUAAUGUUGUUAUGAAAUGCAAUUUAUGUAUAUGGCUGUAUAUGGUAAAAUUUUGACAAAUUGUUUUCAAAUGACAUUGUAAUCAUGUAGAAAUGAGAACAAUCAAUGUCAUUUUGACUUAAACAUUCUCUGCAUAUAGAUAUACCUUCUUUUUUCCACAUUCAAAUCAUGAGAUGUUAUUAUAAUGUUAUUUUGUUGUCAAUAAAUUCAAUUCUUUAAAUUUGCACUCACAUAAAACCAAAUUUUGGCAAAAAAUUACUGUCUCGAUACAUUCUAUAUAAUUAAAAGUUUCUCUUAUUUUAUAUAUCGCAUAUUGAAAAAUAAU